rnacentral:rRNA from 1 species
CCUACGGGGGGCAGCAGUGGGGAAUAUUGGACAAUGGGGGCAACCCUGAUCCAGCCAUGCCGCGUGUGUGAAGAAGGCCCUCGGGUUGUAAAGCACUUUCAGUGAGGAAGAACGCCUGGUGGUUAAUACCCAUCAGGAAAGACAUCACUCACAGAAGAAGCACCGGCUAACUCCGUGCCAGCAGCCGCGGUAAUACGGAGGGUGCGAGCGUUAAUCGGAAUUACUGGGCGUAAAGCGCGCGUAGGUGGCUUGAUAAGCCGGUUGUGAAAGCCCCGGGCUCAACCUGGGAACGGCAUCCGGAACUGUCAAGCUAGAGUGCAGGAGAGGAAGGUAGAAUUCCCGGUGUAGCGGUGAAAUGCGUAGAGAUCGGGAGGAAUACCAGUGGCGAAGGCGGCCUUCUGGACUGACACUGACACUGAGGUGCGAAAGUGUGGGUAGCAAACAGGAUUAGAUACCCCGGUAGUC